rnacentral:rRNA from 1 species
GGCCGGACACACCACUGGUGUACCGGCUGUCGCGCCAGCGGCAGCGCCGGGUAGCUAUGUGUGGCAUGGAUAAACGCUGAAAGCAUCUAAGCGUGAAGCCACUCCCAAGAUUAGGUUUCGCGGGGCGCAAGCCCCCUGAAGGUCCGUCGAAGACUACGACGUUGAUAGGUCACAGGUGUAAGUGCAGUAAUGUAUUGAGCCGAGUGAUACUAAUAGACCGUGAGGCUUUAUCUUU